ACAGCUGCAACAUCAGCGCGCCAACGCAAGCAUGUGUCUGGGACUGAGCAAGGCCCUUGCAGCUGCACCCCUUGGUGGAAAGAAGGUUCUGGAGGCAGGACACCAGUUCUGACUGGUAGGAUCGGCUGGUGAUGGAGCAGUGGAAUGACCGGCAGUGGCUGCAGGAUUAGGAAGGUCACCUUCAUGGAGCUGUGUCCCUGGCUUGCCCCUGGCUUCCAUCGACGGAUCACCCAGAUGCGACCUACCAUCCUCCUGGAGAAGUGGGUCACCAUCGCUAUCUGGAAGCUUGCCUCUCCAGACAGUUACUGGUCUGUGGGCAACCAGUUCAGCGUGGGAAAGUCCACCGUUGGGGCCAUCCUCAUGGAGAUGGUGAGGGGCAUAAACCCAUCUUGCUACGCAGGGUCAUCCACCUGGGAGACCUAGAACUCAUCGUGGCCGGCUUUGCCACCCUGGGCUUCCCCAACUGCAGGGGGGCCAUAGAUGGAACCCACAUCCCCAUCCAGGCCCCAGAACAUCGGACAGUUCAUGGACAUUUUCAUCAGGUGGUUGGGGAAGGCGCACGACGCCCGCAUGUUCAGAAACUCCAGCCUCUACCAGAAGCUAGAGGCUGGCACGUUCUUCCCCCAGCAUGACUACAGGUUCAGGGACAUGGAGAUGCCACUGUGCAUUGUGGGGGAUGCAGCCUACCCUUCGUGCCAUGGCUGAUGAAGCCCUACACCGGCCACAUACACCCAAGCAGAGACCGUUUCAAUGCCUGCCUGGGCAGGGCCCACAUCCAGGCCGAAUGCACCUUUGGCCACUUGAAGGCGAGGUUCAGGUGCCUCCUAAUCCACCUCAAUGUGGGGGAGCACAUCUCCAGGGCAGCCUAUUGUGUUCUCCACUACAUUGUGAAGAGCAAGAGGGAGACCUUCCUUUCAAGGUGGGGGGAGGGGCAGAGGCUAGCCAGGUGGGAAGGGCCUUUGAGCAGCGGCACACAGCUGCCAUCCACCAGGCCCCUUAGGUGGGGGUUCGCAUCUGGGAGAUCCUUAGGGAGAGUUUCUCUGAAGGACCCCAGUAACUCUCCCCAGGGCCUUGCCCCUCUAUGCCGUCCCCAGAAAAUCCCUUCCCUACCACCUUCCCUGUAGAUACAAUAAAAAUUCCAGUCUUGUUUUUAAAAACAUUUAUUUUUUUCAAAAAAGUAACUGGUGAGGAGGGGGGCUGAGAACCUGGAUAUGGGAGUGAGGAGGGGGUCAGAUCUAGGGCUAAAAGUGGCACAUGGUGGAACUAGAAGUUCCCCCUUGUGUCUGGAGACCCGGAGGAGGGGGGUUCAGGGACAACAGGGGGAUAGUCUGGAGUGGGGUCAAGCAUGGCAUGUGGGCAGAGGCAGGCAUGGCCAGAGGAGGAGUGCCUGGAGCAGGGACAGGAGCAGGGACUGGGACAGUGGCACAGAUGUUGCGGCCCUGCUGCACCAUCUUGGUACACAUUUGGGCCCACCAUUGAACAUUGUGGUGGACCUUCUGGGCCAGUGCCUGAUGAAUAUCCUGGAGGAUGGCCACAUGCUCCCUCAUAAGGUCCUCAUGGACCUUCCAACACCAGUGGCUUCCUCACAGUCAAGUGGCUGGUUCCCCUGGUGGUGAUCACCUCACAGUCAUGGCUGGUCUGGUUGGGGAGAAUAAAGAAAGUGAGGUGUCAGUCAUCCCCGGAGACAUUGUCCCUGAGGCCUUGCCCUCAUCAGUGAGCUGAGAGCAAUAGUCCUUGGCCCAGAGGACGAUGAUAUCCUGGGAGCAAGGCCAUGUAUGGCCUGGACAGCGGGCCCUGCCUCACAGGGACCCAGAGGUACCCAGAGGACCAUGCUUCCCACCCCCCUUUCUCCUGCCCCAUCCCACAGACCAGCAGGCAAAGGAAGUGUCCAGCCACACUGGGAUUCCAUGGGAGGAAGAGGAACCUUGGGCAGUCUUGGCUUCCAUCGGGGCCGCACACACACCUGUGCCUGACAGCGCUGUCCCCAGGAUCAGGUGGUGUCUAAAGCAUGCAAGCAUGCCCAUGUGGUGUGUGCAGCGCUCCAGAGUCUGUGUGCAGGCGUGCAUGUGCCCUUGUCCCCAGCCUCCUUCCAGU